rnacentral:tRNA from 1 species
GGUGAGAUGGCUCAGUGGUUAAGAGCACUUAGCUGCUCUUCCAGAGGUCCUGAGUUCAAGUCCCAGCAACAACA